AACUGUGUGGUGUAGUGGUUUCAGUGUUGGGCUAUGAUCCUGGAGACUAGGGUUCAAAUCUCUGUUUGGCCA